rnacentral:rRNA from 1 species
UGGGGAAUAUUGCACAAUGGGCGCAAGCCUGAUGCAGCCAUGCCGCGUGUGUGAAGAAGGCCUUCGGGUUGUAAAGCACUUUCAGCGAGGAGGAAGGGUAGUGUGUUAAUAGCACAUUGCAUUGACGUUACUCGCAGAAGAAGCACCGGCUAACUCCGUGCCAGCAGCCGCGGUAAUACGGAGGGUGCAAGCGUUAAUCGGAAUUACUGGGCGUAAAGCGCACGCAGGCGGUUUGUUAAGUCAGAUGUGAAAUCCCCGCGCUUAACGUGGGAACUGCAUUUGAAACUGGCAAGCUAGAGUCUUGUAGAGGGGGGUAGAAUUCCAGGGGUAGCGGUGAAAUGCGUAGAGAUCUGGAGGAAUACCGGUGGCGAAGGCGGCCCCCUGGACAAAGACUGACGCUCAGGUGCGAAAGCGUGGGGAGCAAACA